GGGCCGGCUUUAGCUCAACAGUUACUUCGACAAUGCUUUCUACGGUGGAAAACAACCACUCUGCCUGGUUCGAGACCCGCGGGCGCUCUCCGGCCCUUCA
ensembl:misc_RNA Vault Vault RNA